rnacentral:rRNA from 1 species
AGUGAACGCUGGCGGUAGGCCUAACACAUGCAAGUCGAACGGCAGCACAGUAAGAGCUUGCUCUUACGGGUGGCGAGUGGCGGACGGGUGAGGAAUACAUCGGAAUCUACUUUUUCGUGGGGGAUAACGUAGGGAAACUUACGCUAAUACCGCAUACGACCUACGGGUGAAAGCAGGGGAUCUUCGGACCUUGCGCGAAUGAAUGAGCCGAUGUCGGAUUAGCUAGUUGGCGGGGUAAAGGCCCACCAAGGCGACGAUCCGUAGCUGGUCUGAGAGGAUGAUCAGCCACACGGGAACUGAGACACGGUCCAGACUCCUACGGUAGGCAGCAGUGGGGAAUAUUGGACAAUGGGCGCAAGCCUGAUCCAGCCAUACCGCGUGAGUGAAGAAGGCCUUCGGGUUGUAAAGCCCUUUUGUUGGGAAAGAAAAGCAGCAGGUUAAUACCCCGCUGUUCUGACGGUACCCAAAGAAUAAGCACCGGCUAACUUCGUG